UGUUGUUUUGUCCCAGUCCUUCUGCUUCCUGUCUUUUACAGCUGGGUUGUCAACUACCCAAUUAAUAACUUAAUUUUAUUUAGGCAAGGGCUCACUCCGCUCAUGCUGUAUGUUUUGGGUCGCUAUGCUGCUGUUGGACCUAUGAGCUGUUGCUGAGGUUGAGGUUUCUGACACUGGGCAGGAUGUUUGGCUGCAUGAAGUCUUGGCAGUCAAUAAGACUUCAUUGUGCUCUGCUGAAAUUCAAGGUUCUCCAUGCCAGUUCAUCUUCCCAGGAGAAGCCAGCCUCAGCGGGAGAGGCAUAAUCCGAUGACAAGGCUGUCUGCCAGCCUGCUAACUCCAUGAUUGUUUCCAGACAAGUGUUGUUGCCCUCUGGACAGCACGUCUCUCCGUUCUAGAGUAAUGGCCAAUUACCAGGAGGCAGUUUGUUGAAAGGAUGCUGCCAGGAACUACAUCUGCCUUCAAACAGCGAUCGGAUCCAAACAUAUGCUCUGGAACAAACUACCUUCAAAAGAUGAAGCGCAUUCACUAACCAGAGUUGCCUUCAGAAGCGAGUGUUGAGAAAAGUCUAAGCUGUGGAUGACAUGGUAGUGGGGAUUUAUUUGUUUAUUUGUGUAGAUAUUGUUUACUAGGUUGGGAUGAAUAAAUGGCUGGCAUAAGGUUUUGGACAGAAAUAAGUAUUUGAUUAAAGGAACAUCUUUUUUUAUUGUUAUUCCUUUUUCUCAGUUCAGUUCAGGUCUUUGAAAUGUGUCAGUCAGAUGUAACAUUUUAGUCCGAAAUAUUACAGCUUUAUUAAACACCAACUGAAAUCUACAGUAACAUCACUGAUUAACAUGCCAAAUAAAUUAUUUACAUCUACCAUGUAAUAAUUAUCUUUUGCAAUAUUGCAAUUGUAUAAUUGGUAAAGAGUGUCAUUAUGUGGUUCUUGGAUCAGGAGUUCUAUCUGUAGUCUUAAUUUUAGGCAGAGUCAGCUCCAAAUGCGCCACUUGUACAGCUGCAUAGCAGGUCCUUCGUUAUAAAGAAAGGCUCUGCUGUAUGUGUUUAACUUGAGAUGCCCUGUCCAGUGUAUUUGAUAAUAAUUGGAUCUUACAUAAAUUCACAAGUUUUUCAA